rnacentral:rRNA from 1 species
GAUGAACGCUAGCGGCAGGCUUAAUACAUGCAAGUCGUGGGGCAGCAUGAAUGUAGCAAUACAUUUGAUGGCGACCGGCAAACGGGUGCGGAACACGUACACAACCUUCCUAUAAGUGGGGAAUAGCCCAGAGAAAUUUGGAUUAAUACCCCGUAACAUAGCGAUGUGGCAUCACAUUGCUAUUAUAGCUUCGGCGCUUGUUGAUGGGUGUGCGGCUGAUUAGAUAGUUGGCGGGGUAACGGCACACCAAGUCUACGAUCAGUAGCUGAUGUGAGAGCAUGAUCAGCCACACGGGCACUGAGACACGGGCCCGACUCCUACGGGAGGCAGCAGUAAGGAAUAUUGGACAAUGGACGCAAGUCUGAUCCAGCCAUGCCGCGUGAAGGAUUAAGGUCCUCUGGAUUGUAAACUUCUUUUAUAAGGGACGAAAAAAGGUCUUUCUAGAUCGUCUGACGGUACCUUAUGAAUAAGCACCGGCUAACUCCGUGCCAGCAGCCGCCGUAAAAC